rnacentral:rRNA from 1 species
UACAGAGGGUGCGAGCGUUAAUCGGAUUUACUGGGCGUAAAGGGCGCGUAGGUGGUUAUGAUAGUGUGAUGUGAAAGCCCUGGGCUUAACCUAGGAAGUGCAUCGCAAACUACAUAACUGGAGUAUUGGAGAGGGUAGCGGAAUUUCCGGUGUAGCGGUGAAAUGCGUAGAGAUCGGAAGGAACGUCAAUGGCGAAGGCAGCUACCUGGCCAAAUACUGACACUGAGGCGCGAAAGCGUGGGGAGCAAACAGG